GCGGACUGAGCCACCCAGGCUCCCCAUUGUUGCAUGCUAACCUCUCUACUCUGCAACUUCAUGCCUCUUUGUGGCUUCAUAUCCUUCACGGCAAACACAGGGCAGAGCAGGAAUGAGGCGCCAGCCUGCUGCCGCUCGCUCUUCAGCCCCUACUGGAGAACCACUGCGCCAUCAGAGCAGAGCACUUUAGGGGCAGGCUUGUCUCCUCGGGCACCAGUCUCUCCACCCGGGCGUCAUAGUGAGGAGGCAGAGGUCACUUCCCCGAUGCCCCGGACAGUGUGAGGGGAGCCUUUGGGAAAGGCGUGUGAGGACGCGGGAGUAUGACAACCAGAAUGAGGAAGGUGCUGGAAAAGGAGCCUGGACUGCCAAGCCACAAAGCUUGGACUUUUUGUGCAGAUAAAGAAAACCUUGGAGGGUUUUUUAAGGCAACACGAGGUUCAGAAUGAGGUCCUAACUGGGAAAGAUCCAGAGACAGGAGUUUGGAGCAAAAACUAACCUGAAGUCGUAGGGAAGUAGUUGCCCAAACAAAAUUAUGGUCAUCUGGGUAUUCCAAUUCAACACCUUGAUAGAUCCCAUUCUCCUCAACAUCACAAUAAACAGGUAUAAA